rnacentral:piRNA from 2 species
UGUUACAGAAUUGGACGGCUGAAUU